CCUACGGGUGGCAGCAGUGGGGAAUAUUGGACAAUGGGGGCAACCCUGAUCCGGCCAUGCCGCGUGUGUGAAGAAGGCCCUCGGGUUGUAAAGCACUUUCAGUGAGGAAGAACGCCUGGUGGUUAAUACCCAUCAGGAAAGACAUCACUCACAGAAGAAGCACCGGCUAACUCCGUGCCAGCAGCCGCGGUAAUACGGAGGGUGCGAGCGUUAAUCGGAAUUACUGGGCGUAAAGCGCGCGUAGGUGGCUUGAUAAGCCGGUUGUGAAAGCCCCGGGCUCAACCUGGGAACGGCAUCCGGAACUGUCAAGCUAGAGUGCAGGAGAGGAAGGUAGAAUUCCCGGUGUAGCGGUGAAAUGCGUAGAGAUCGGGAGGAAUACCAGUGGCGAAGGCGGCCUUCUGGACUGACACUGACACUGAGGUGCGAAAGCGUGGGUAGCAAACAGGAUUAGAUACCCGUGUAGUC
rnacentral:rRNA from 1 species